rnacentral:tRNA from 1 species
GGCGGAGUGAUGGAAUCGGUAGACAUAGCGGACUUAAAAUCCGCUGAGGGGUAACCCUCGUGUGGGUUCGAGUCCCACCUCCGCUACCA